CGGAGCAUAACAUAAAUUUUCGAAAAAAACAAAAUUUGCCAAAAAAUUGAAUUAAUUUUAGACAAAAUUGACAGAAUUUGACCCAUUUUUUUUUAUUGCAAACCAAAAUUGCCCGACUGUUCAUCGAAUAUUGCCCGACUGCCCAAAAAACUGGGGGGGCUGCCGCCCCCCCCGCCCCCCCGCCCGGUACGCCUAUGAUAAUGGGCAAAUAUAUGAUUAUGUACAAAUUGCAUGCAUGGUUCAUAAAAUCUCUGUGAUAGACUUGCUCCAACAGAUUCAAAUUCCAUCCUGACAAUACCUAAAUAAUAAUUAUAGAGCUUGCAGUGUUGCACUACCUUUUGCUAAAAUACUGCCAUUGUUUACCAGUAUUUAAUAUGAACUCAAAAGUCAAAACACUUAACACUAUGAAGUAUUUAGAUUUAUAAAUAGUACUUAGUAUUUUAUAAACCUUAAUUGCAUAUAAAAUAGUUUAUAAUUAUCUUACCUUUGUAAUUUUACUGUAAUUAUCUCUUUAGUUUGUAUUUGUUGACUAAUCUGUAUUUUCUUAUUUCAAAAUAAACUGAAUUUCAUAUCAAGAAGCGAAGUUUGUCUGUUUGUGUGCUUAUUUAAAGGCACAGUUCAGCCUUCUGAGUGAUGGUUUUUAUGGCGCAUUACAAGAC